CAGCCGCCGCGGUAAUACGAGGGGGGCAAGCGUUGUUCGGAAUUAUUGGGCGUAAAGCGCGCGUAGGUGGUUCGCCAAGUUGGAUGUGAAAUCCCCGGGCUCAACCUGGGAACUGCAUCCAAAACUGGCGAGCUAGAGUAUGGUAGAGGGUGGUGGAAUUUCCUGUGUAGCGGUGAAAUGCGUAGAUAUAGGAAGGAACAUCAGUGGCGAAGGCGACCACCUGGACUGAUACUGACACUGAGGUGCGAAAGCGUGGGGAGCAAACAGGAUUAGAUACCCGCGUAGUCCCUGUCUCUUAUAC
rnacentral:rRNA from 1 species